rnacentral:rRNA from 1 species
GACGAACGCUGGCGGCGUGCUUAACACAUGCAAGUCGAACGGAAAGGCCCUGCUUUUGUGGGGUGCUCGAGUGGCGAACGGGUGAGUAACACGUGAGUAACCUGCCCUUGACUUUGGGAUAACUUCAGGAAACUGGGGCUCAUACCGGAUAGGAGCUCCUGCUGCAUGGUGGGGGUUGGAAAGUUUCGGCGGUUGGGGAUGGACUCGCGGCUUAUCAGCUUGUUGGUGGGGUAGUGGCUUACCAAGGCUUUGCCGGGUAGCCGGCCUGAGAGGGUGACCGGCCACAUUGGGACUGAGAUACGGCCCAGACUCCUACGGGAGGCAGCAGUGGGGAAUAUUGCACAAUGGGCGGAAGCCUGAUGCAGCAACGCCGCGUGCGGGAUGACGGCCUUCGGGUUGUAAACCGCUUUCGCCUGUGACGAAGCGUGAGUGACGGUAAUGGGUAAAGAAGCACCGGCUAACUACGUG